GAAUUUCAUUUGUAGUAGAAAUCCUUUUCUUAUAAAAUUAUAAGAUUUUAUAAGAAAAGAUUGUAACGGAAAGCCCGACCCUUG
rnacentral:sRNA from 1 species